rnacentral:rRNA from 1 species
UAUGAAGGUCAGGCUGAAGACCUUACCCGAUUAGCGUGAGAGGUGGUGCAUGGCCGUCGUCAGUUCGUACUGUGAAGCAUCCUGUUAAGUCAGGGCAACGAGCGAGACCCACGUCCACAGUUGCCAGCAUACCCUCCGGGGUGAUGGGUACACUGUGGAGACCGCCGCUGCUAAAGCGGAGGAAGGAGUGGGCAACGGUAGGUCAGUAUGCCCCGAAUCUCCCGGGGCUACACGCGGGCUACAAUGGGUUGGUACAAUGGGCAUCUACCCCGAAAGGGAAGGAAAUCUCUUAAAGCCAAUCGUAGUUCGGAUUGAGGGCUGCAACUCGCCCUCAUGAAGCUGGAAUCCGUAGUAAUCGCGUUUCAACAGAACGCGGUGAAUACGUCCCUGCUCCUU